rnacentral:tRNA from 1 species
AUUUAUAUAGUUUAAUAUAAAAACAUAUCAUCUUCAGUGAUUAGAUAAGAUAUACCUUUAUAAAUA